GACGAACGCUGGCGGCGUGCUUAACACAUGCAAGUCGAACGGAAAGGCCGUGCUUUUGUGGGGUGCUCGAGUGGCGAACGGGUGAGUAACACGUGAGUAACCUGCCCUUGACUUUGGGAUAACUUCAGGAAACUGGGGCUAAUACCGGAUAGGAGCUCCUGCUGGAUGGUGGGGGUUGGAAAGUUUCGGCGGUCGGGGAUGGACUCGCGGCUUAUGAGCUUGUUGGUUGGGUAGUGGAUUACCAAGGCUUUGACGGGUAGCCGGCAUGGGAGGGUGACCGGCGACAUUGGGACUGAGAUACGGCCCAGACUGCUACGGGGGGCAGCAGUGGGGAAUAUUGCACAAUGGGCGGAAGCCUGAGGCGGCAGCGCCGCGGGUGGGAUGACGGCCUUCGGGUUGUAAACCGCUUUAGCCUGUGACGAAGCGUGUGUGACGGUAAUGGGUAAAUAAGCACCGGCUAACUACGUG
rnacentral:rRNA from 1 species